rnacentral:rRNA from 1 species
AGGAGUCAGUACUUAGAAGUGACUGACUGAGUGCCAGCCGCCGCGGGUGGGGCAGAUGAUUGGGGUGAAGUCGUAGCAAGGUAACCUCAGUCAGUCAAGUCUGUAACAAGGUAACCUCAGUCAGUCAAGUCAUAAUCAAGGUAACCUCAGUCAGUCAAGUCGUAACAAGGUAACACUCAGUCUAGUCAAGUCGUAACAAGGUAACCUCAGUCAGUCAAGUCGUAACAAGGUAACCUCAGUCAGUCA